AACGAACGUUAGCGGCGCGCCUAACACAUGCAAGUCGCACGAGAAAGGGCUUCGGCCCCGGUACAGUGGCGCACGGGUGAGUAACACGUAGGUAAUCUUCCCUAGAGUGGUGGAUAACUCUCCGAAAGGGGAGCUAAUACAGCAUGAGACCACAGCAUCUCCGGAUGCAGCGGUCAAAGCAGGCCUCUACAUGUAAGCUUGCGCUCAAGGAUGAGCCUGCGGCCCAUCAGCUAGUUGGUGAGGUAACGGCCCACCAAGGCUAAGACGGGUAGCUGGUCUGAGAGGAUGAACAGCCACACUGGAACUGACACACGGUCCAGACUCCUACGGGAGGCAGCAGUGGGGAAUCUUGCGCAAUGGGCGAAAGCCUGACGCAGCGACGCCGCGUGAGCGAUGAAGGCCUUCGGGUUGUAAAGCUCUGUGGGGAGAGAAGAAUAAGGAUACGCUAACACCGUACUCGAUGACGGUAUCUCCUUAGCAAGCACCGGCUAACUCUGUGCCAGCAGCCGCGGUAAAAC
rnacentral:rRNA from 1 species